GAAACUUUUAAAACUGGAGGAAUUCAAAAGAAAUGGGGAGGUCCUUGGUUUUUUAUAGCGUUAACGAAUCCAGCAGACAUUGAAUAUGUCUCGAAAAAUUGCUUGGAGAAAGAUCUAUUAAUUAUGAAGAGCUUAAAAGGCCUCACUGGUGAUGGCGGAAUUUUCGCCCCUGUUUCAAUAUGGUCUAAAAAAAGAAAAGUGAUUAUUCCUGCGUUUAGCCCCAAAAUACUCAAUAGUUUUAUGGAUAUAUUUUCGCGAAGAAGUGCGAAUCUUGUUGAUAAGCUUAAAGAAUUGAGUGGCACCGGUAAAUUCGAUAUUUGGCCUAUCAUCAACAAUUUCACAUGAGCAUCAAUAGCUGAGACAUCAUUGGGUAUAAGGAAUCUAGAAGGAAUGAAUGAUGUAGUGGCAUCAGACUUUCUUAAGUCCGUUGAAGAGAGUUUUAUACUGGCUUCAAACAGAACAUUUUCCGUAUGGCUGUGGCCAGAUUGGAUCUACAAAUUAUCCUGGCAAUAUAGGCAUUUCAAAAAACAUAAUGACAAUAUUAUUAACCUUACAAACAAUAUUAUACGAAAAAAACGCAAUGAUUUAAAACAUGUUGAUUUAAAUGCUUACGAAAAUAAAACAAUUUUUGG